CCCCCCUUCCCCUAGAAACCAGCCUCCAACUCAUUGUCUUUCUUGAGUAUACCAUGGUUAAGGAAAUCAACCAGCCGAACAGGGGAGAAGCAAACGUCAGUUCAAUUACUAAUACAGUCAACUUUGAAAUCAAUUCUUCCCCAUGAAACUGAAAUCAAUUACUGAUAUCAUCAUUAAGGUUUGAUCGAUGAAACUGAUAUCACACCAAAAGCCACCAAAACCCUACGAUUUCAAUCCCAUAAAUCCGAUCAAUUCUCCUUCUCCAGCACUUGGACCAGCCGAUAUGCCUUUUUGUUUGUUUCAUACGACGGUGUUAAGGGUUUCUAAAUAUGGUUUAGGAUGAUUCGCUGAGUUUGAAGUUUCCUUUGCGUCUCAGCAGGCGAGACGAAUUUCUAGGUUAUUCCCAGGCUUUAUUUUUACCUAAUUUGUUGUCGUUUUUGUUCUAAUUUCAGGGUGAAAUCUUAAGGUUCGUAUGUUUACACAUCUGUUGGGUAUUUCGAUCGCUAAGGAAGGAUGUUUGAUAGGGAAGAAAGAAAGGAUGUGGAUAUAUCAUUUACCAGGGUUAUGUUUUUUUGGCUAAGAUCAAGUGUGAUUAUUAAUGAUUAAAUCCACGCGACUACUCGAGCUUGCUUUUCCGGCGACUGUACAACAAUAAAAGAACGGCAACUGUGUCGGUAUUGGACAUUUUCAUAUAUUUACUCUUAAUGUUGUUGAUCAUAGUAUGCUCAAUCUCCAUCUUUGUUCUCGCAUUCGAAUUAUGCGUCGCUUUAGGUUAGCUUUGUUUGUUGAACUCCAAUUUAUGUUGUAGGGUUGGAAGUUUGGAACUUAGUUAGGAGUUGUAGUUAAAAAUUAAGAGCUCUUAACUGGAGAUGAAAGUUGUAGUUAAAAAUUAAGAGCUCUUAACUGGUUCAAUAGUUCUGGAUUCCAAUUUAGAAAUAGUAUUUGUCAUAUGUUUGCUGUUCUUUUUGUGAUGUCUGGAUCAUAAGGUAUGUUAUUUCUAUUGGUAAUUAGAUUUUGUAUGUGGCAUUAGUUUUAUAAAUGUUGGGUCUGUUCUCAAUUUUCUUGCAAAUCCACUAAUAUUUAUUGUGCAAAUAUACUAAUGGUGACCAUGUUAGGGAUGGGAAAUAAACAUGAUUAAUGGAAAGAAAAGUGCAAAGAAAACUCAUUCCUAACAAUAGGCCUGAAGAAACCCAUACUUCAUAGGUUUUUUUUUUUUUUUUACCACAAAGCCGGUUUAGGUGGUUCUUAGCUAUGAACAAGAUAGAAAACCCAGAACUAAAAACGUAUGUCUCAGUAGUAAAAAAAUGGAUUGCAUGUACGUAUGGACCACAGCCUACACAUUUGGAAUAUAAGAUUAAACUUUCGGGAAAUAGUCCAGUUGGAAAUGCGUGUUAUGAUGUGUUGGUGGAUGUCCCAUUUCCAGUUACAAAGGGAACUAAAUGCUUUACUAGCUGCUACUGAGAAAGGUAAAGAGAUUGAAGCUUGUGAUGAAGCAAUAUGUACUUCAAUUAGGAAGAUUAAUGAACAUCGUAAAAGGCGAGUUUUUUUCCUUGGGUAGCAGUAAGGCCAAACGAGUUAAAUGCAGACGUGGAUCGGAAAUGAUUGGUCGUGGCUUGUUCAUGAAGAAGGCUCAGUGAAGGGACGAACAAAUUUGUCGAGCUGGUUUUUUUGUAUAUAUAAAUUUACUACAAGAGUUGCAAAUAAAUAGUGUAAUUGAUACAUUCUGUAGUUCGCUUUAUAUCGUCUUGAUGUCUGUCGUUAGUGAC